CCUACGGGUGGCUGCAGUGGGGAAUAUUGGUCAAUGGAGGCAACUCUUACCCCGCAAUGCCGCGUGAAUGAAGAAGGUCUUCGGAUUUUAAAGUUCUUUAAUUGGGGACGAAAAAAAUGACGCUACCCAAGGAAUAAGCCCCUGCUAACUUAGUGCCAGCAGCCGCGGGAAUACAGCGGGGGCAAGCGUUGUUCGGAGAGACUGGGGGUAAAGGGUGUGUAGGCGGUGUAGCAAGUUAGAAGGGAAAUACCUAGAGCUUAACUCAGGUGCUGCUUCUAAAACUGCUAUACUUGAGUGCAGUAGAGGAAAGUGGAAUUCCUAGUGUAGCGGUGAAAUGCGUAGAUAUUAGGAGGAACAUCAGUGGCGAAGGCGACUUUCUGGACUGUAACUGACGCUGAGGCACGAAAGUGUGGGGAGCAAACAGGAUUAGAUACCCUUGUAGUC
rnacentral:rRNA from 1 species